rnacentral:rRNA from 1 species
ACGUGGGCCCUUUCCCCGGUUCGGGGGACAGGGUGACAGGUGGUGCAUUGGUUGUCGUCAGCUCGUGUCGUGAGAUGUUGGGUUAAGUCCCGCAACGAGCGCAACCCCUAUCUCUAGUUGCCAGCAAUUCGGGUCGGGGACUCUAGAGAUACUGCCCCCGGUUUAACGGGGAGGAAGGUGGGGAUGACGUCAAGUCCUCAUGGCCCUUAUGCCCAGGGCUACACACGUACUACAAUGGGCGGUACAAAGGGUAGCGAUGCCGCGAGGUGAAGCCAAUCCCAAAAAGCCGUCCACAGUUCGGAUUGGAGUCUGCAACUCGACUCCAUGAAGCCGGAAUCGCUAGUAAUCGUGGAUCAGCAUGCCACGGUGAAUACGUUCCCGGGCCUU